GAAUAUUGGACAAUGGGCGCAAGCCUGAUCCAGCCAUGCCGCGUGAGUGAUGAAGGCCUUAGGGUUGUAAAGCUCUUUCACCGGAGAAGAUAAUGACGGUAUCCGGAGAAGAAGCCCCGGCUAACUUCGUGCCAGCAGCCGCGGUAAUACGAAGGGGGCUAGCGUUGUUCGGAAUUACUGGGCGUAAAGCGCACGUAGGCGGAUCAGUCAGUCAGGGGUGAAAUCCCGGGGCUCAACCCCGGAACUGCCCUUGAUACUGCUGGUCUGGAGGUCGAGAGAGGUGAGUGGAAUUCCGAGUGUAGAGGUGAAAUUCGUAGAUAUUCGGAGAAACACCAGUGGCGAAGGCGGCUCACUGGCUCGAUACUGACGCUGAGGUGCGAAAGCGUGGGGAGCAAACAGG
rnacentral:rRNA from 1 species